rnacentral:rRNA from 1 species
ACCUGUCCUCUUGACAGAGACAACCAUUUGAAAAGAUGGCUAAUACCUGAUGUUGCAUAUACUCGGUGGAGUAUAUGCCAAAGGCGGUUUUGCCGCCGCAAGGGGAGGGGGCUACGUCCUAUUAGCUAGUUGGUGAGGUAACGGCCCACCAAGGCAACGAUGGGUAGCUGGUCUGAGAGGACGAUCAGCCACAUUGGGACUGAGACACGGCCCAAACUCCUACGGGAGGCAGCAGUAGGGAAUCUUCCGCAAUGGGCGCAAGCCUGACGGAGCGACGUCACGUGAAGGAUGAAGGCCUUCGGGUCGUAAACUUCUUUUCUGGGGAAAGAAUAAGAAUGAGAGGAAAUGCUCAUUUGAUGACGGUACUCCAGGAAUAAGUCACGGCUAACUCUGUGCCAGCAGCCGCGGUAAGACAGAGGUGGCAAGCGUUAUCCGGAAUUACUGGGCGUAAAGGGCGUCUAGGCGGCUUGACAAGUCAUCUGUGAAAUUCCUCGGCUUAACCGAGGGCAGUCAGGUGAAACUGUCAGGCUAGGGUCCAGAAGAGGAGGGUGGAAUUCACAGAGUAGCGGUGAAAUGCGUAGAUACUGUGAGGUACCUCAAUGGCGAAGGCAACCCUCUGGGCUGAGACCGACGCUGAAGCGCGAAAGCGUGGGGAGCAAAGGGGAUUAGAUACCCCCGUAGUCCACGCCCUAAACGAUGUUCACUUGGUGCUGGCCGCUAAAAUAAGGCCAGUGCCGGAGCUAACGCAUUAAGUGAACCGCCUGGGGAGUACGGCCGCAAGGCUAAAACUCAAGAGAAUUGACGGGGACCCGCACAAGCGGUGGAGCACGUGGAUUAAUUCGAAGAUAAGCGAAGAACCUUACCUGGGUUUGACAUGUUAGUAGUAGGAACCCGAAAGGGGGACGACUCAUACCUUCGGGUAUGAGAGCUAUCACAGGUGAUGCAUGGCUGUCGUCAGCUCGUGUCGUAGGACGUAGGGUUAAGUCCCAUAACGAGCGCAACCCCUGUCGUCAGUUGCCAGCGGAUAAUGCCGGGGACUCUGACGAGACUACCGGUGAAUAACCGGAGGAAGGAGGGGAUGACGUCAAGUCAUCAUGUCCCUUAUAUCCAGGGCGUCACACAUGCUACAAUGGCCAGCACAAUGGGUCGCGAACCCGCAAGGGGGAGCCAAUCUCAAAAAACUGGCCUCAGUUCAGAUUGAGGCCUGCAACUCGGCCUCAUGAAGUCGGAAUCGCUAGUAAUCGCAGGUCAGCCACACUGCGGUGAAUAUGUACUCGGGUCUUGU